rnacentral:lncRNA from 1 species
UCGGAGUUUUGCACCUAUGGGCGGAAAAAAGUUGUUAAUUGACGUCAAGAGAAGCAUUGCAUACAGUAAAUAUGAUGUGAGCUAAUGCUACAUAUAUAGUGUCGGGUUAAAGAGGAGUACAAGGAAUUGCAAAUGGCUGAUCAAAAUUUGUGCUAGUUAAACACGAAUGCAGUGAAACCAAUGCGGGAAGUUCUCAAUCAUACCUGAAAAUAGACCAGCGCUUUAAGAGUGGCAAGAAAAGAAAACCAGUUGUACUUGCACUACGGUUUGUGUAAAUGAAGCAUCUGGCCGCAGUGAGACGGGAAUAAGAAGAAACAACUUAGCUAGCCCUUCUCAGGGCAGCUUAGCUUGGCAAGAGAUCCCAGGUUAGAUUUUUUCAACAAACCUCCCAUGACCCACGACCUCCCACGACCUCCUCUGGCGCUCCCACGGGCGGCAGGGGAGGAAGCCCUAGCCGCCGCUGGACCGCGACCCCCUCCCCCUUUCCUCCCCUUGCCGCCGCCAGGGCGUGCCGGUGGGCGAAGCUCGCCCGACAUGGGCGGUGGCGGGGCGCUUUCUCCUUCUCGCGAGGCGGGAUCGCCAUUGGGCAAUCUACCCUGGCCUGAACGCGGCGUGGUGCGGGGCUUGGCGAUGCUGGGCUGCCACGGUGGCGGGCGUGGAGGACUGCACGAGGUGGGCUGCGUGUUGGUGAUGGCAACGACGACCGAUGGUCGACCUGCCGGAUCUUGACGGCGCGGGGCGCGGUGGCACAUGUGCUAGCCGGAGUCAGGCGAGAUCCCCUUCGGGUUGGCAUCCAUGGUGCGCGUGGUCUUGGUGGUUGCUCGCCGGAUUCAUAAUGUCGAUUGUGCUCGACCUUCUGGAUCAGUGUCGAGGCAGGCCGGGGAGGCAUCCCCGGGGUGCUCGUGAUGUGCUAUUGGUGGUUGUGUUUGGCCUAGCAUUGGGCGUAGCUACUGACGGCGGUGGAGUCGGACGGCCCUUCUCGGCAUGGAGUUGGGACUUGGCGGUGGUGGUCAUCUCCUCCGUUGGAGAUGGUCGGCCUGAGGCUAGGUGGUCGGAUCUCCAAAUCCGUCAUCUAGUCCCGCCUGCAAGCCGGGGAGACAUGGUUGCCGGUUAAAACUGAGCCUAUGGCGGCGUUAUGCGUCGUUACAUUGAUGAAGGCAUCGUCGUUUGUCGACCCACUCGUGUUGUUCCGGGGGAAAUCCUAGAUCUGGCCUUCUAGAUCGGACUAUGGUGGCACUGCGGUGUUGUUUCUCUCUUGGGAGCAUCAUCUGUGGAGCAACGCCGAAAGACAGAGGCAGGAGGUCGAGUGGCUUUGUCUUGCACGGAAUUUCAGUGGAGAUGUCAAGUCAUGUCUGACCGAGAGGUGCUACGCAGUGUCAUGCCUGUUCGGCAGGUGCUACGCACGACAAAUCUUCCGGAGGCUUCAAGCUGUGUCGGCUGGUGGUACACGGCGGCAUGGUGCUGCGGGUGUACCGGCGGCUACUGCGACGUGCUCAACAGUUUGCGCGUAGGGAGGUGGUGCCAUUGAUGGGCGGCCGGAUGGCAAGGAUGAUGCAGAUCUCUUGCCUGAAGAUGGGUCAGCGGUUCGAUGAUGCUUACGGCUUCUAAAACGUGUGCAUGUGAUGCACGCUUUAGGUUUGUUGCCUGGCUGUAGGUUUCGAUAUGUUAUGUGGAUGGAUUGGCAACGACCCCGGUAUUAGAUAUGGGGAGUGAGAGCACUCCUCAUUAUUGAGUUUGUAGGUGUGAGUGACGGCUUGGCUUGAUAUAUGUUUUUGUCAGACCUUUGUUCAAUAAUUAAUGAAAAAACUAACGCCCACACGUGUGGCAUCUUGCACAUCGCCCACACGCCUUCAUCAACACUCAUUUUGCCACGUAUGAACAAAUGACAUCAGCAGGAAUCUUUUUGAUUUUCUGCUUAAAAAUGUUUUAUCUCCUAAUUAAAAAAUCGAAUUAAAAUUCCGUUUUCACCAUUAAAUCCGUCUCGACGAGAUCUUCAAAACUAGACCCCGUGUUGAUAUGUUUCGAUGAAAUUUUGUUUUGCCCAAAAGUUGCCAUGAUGUUUACACUGUAUUUGCCAUAGUGCUUAAACUAAAGUUGCCAUGUGGCAAUUUUAGUUUGUAGAGCAUGGUAAUUUUAGUUUUUUUGAUGAUGGUAAUUCCAGUACUUUGACCAUGAAAAUUAUUUUUUAUAUGAACCAUGGCAAUUUUAAGUGCAUGUAUCACGGCAAUUUAGUUUGUGAUUCAUAGCAAGUCUAGUUUCUUAAUUCCCCGUUUUACAAUAUGUCAAAAUUUACUUUUAAAUGUAGAAGAAAAUAGCUGAAACAUAUCAUGGCAACUUCAGUGUAAACAUCAUGGAAAUUCAUAUGCGAUAGACAUGGCAACUUUUAACCCAAAAAAAUCGUCGAAAUAUAUUGAUAUGAGAUAUAGUUUUGAAGAUCUCGCCGCGAGGGAUUUAAAGGUGAAAACGGAUAUUCAAUCGAAUUUUUCAUUUAAGAUAUAAAACAUUUUAAAAACUGGAAAUUCAAAAGAAUUUUCACAUGCAUGCAUGCGGUGACGUGGCACAGUAUGUGUAUUAUAAGGCGUGUGGACGGGUUUGGCUUCCAGCGUGUGGGCGUUAGUGUUCUCCAUAAUUAAUAAAGAUGGUCAUAUGCGGCAAGGGGUCUUAACUUUUUUUAAAAGCUAGCCCUUCAAUGGUAAGGAAGGAUCAGGUCAUCAGGAUCAGAUCUGGGAUUAAUAUUUUGUUUUUGACGCUCAUAAGUUACAAGAUUAACUAAAUAGCAGGGGUAGACAGUCUGGAGGUAAUGACGGCCAGCUUGGCACGGGAAAAAGGGGGCCAGAUUCAAAUCUGCUAUCGAGAUCUGGCAGUCAGAUAAAGAGGCACGAUGGAUUAAAAUAGUUUAGCCUCCACUGCUGUUGACGCUGAUGCUCUCGAUUGUAGUGGGAACACUCAUGUCCCCACGUGCUUUUUCAAUAGUUUUAUGAUACCGAUUGCCGAUUAAAAUAUGAUAGAUUGACCGUCUUUGCAGCUAACCUGCUCGAUACAGUCCAGUCCUAAACUAUUCGGAAAAUAAGUUGAUGGGUAAGACAAUUGACGGGGAUUCUCGACCGUCCGAUUGCAUGUCCAGGCCGAUGUCCACCAUCCAUUGUAUUCAUCGCAUGUGACGAAGGCCCAGCGGCGACGACACAAACCCUAGCCGCGUUGUCACCCCCCGCCCCCAGCCGCCACCCACUCCCCUCUUUUGGCCUGCAGCCUGAGGGUCCUAACAUUGCACAUGAGGAUACGGCUCUGGUAUGUGAUCCGGAUCUAGGGAUAUGUCUUUGUUCUACUACUCCCUACGUUCUUAAAUAUAGGUUUUUAAAGAGAUUUUAAUAUGAACUGCAUGCAAAUGUAUAUAGGCGUAUUUUAGACUGUAGAUUCACUCAUUUUGCUUUGUAUGUAGUUUAUAUUAAAAUCUCUAAAAAAACAUAUAUUUAGGAACAGAGGAAGGAUACAUCGCAAGGAAUUAACUGGGAGCAGAUUUCAACCACAAGCCGGACACAAAUGUGUGGUAUGCAUAGCAUCACUCAUAUGAACACUCCGUUGUUAGCUGUUAGCUAAACAAAUAAAACUUCCGAAAACUCUCACUUCCUCUCCGGCACUCUAAAGGGCAAGAGACAUGCAUGUGUAGGCUCGGAGCAUUAAGAUGCACGUACGAAAGGCCAUGCGCUAGGAUCUCAUAGAGAAGUCGCCCAACCACAAGCGAAAACACACCACACUGCAACGCCACCACAUACCUGUUCAGUCGCCCGCUGUGUUCCCGCACGGCCGCAGCAGCCGACCACGAGUGAAGGCGGCGUCUCUCCCGUCGGCCUGUGAAGCUUUCCUUCCAGAUGGCUGCUCCUCUCACCCCUCCUUGCUCAACCUCCCACUCAAACCGCUGCAGGGAAAGCAAAGGACACCGCAGCGCCUACGCCCUCUCUAGCGCACGCAGCAAGGAGUAGCGGAGGGAAGGAGGGAAGUCGUCGGGGGAGCCUCGGUGAGAUGGGCGACCUAAGUAUUUAAUGCCGG